rnacentral:rRNA from 1 species
GAUGAACGCUGGCGGCGUGCCUAAUACAUGCAAGUCGAGCGAACAGACGAGGAGCUUGCUCCUCUGACGUUAGCGGCGGACGGGUGAGUAACACGUGGAUAACCUACCUAUAAGACUGGGAUAACUUCGGGAAACCGGAGCUAAUACCGGAUAAUAUAUUGAACCGCAUGGUUCAAUAGUGAAAGACGGUUUUGCUGUCACUUAUAGAUGGAUCCGCGCCGCAUUAGCUAGUUGGUAAGGUAACGGCUUACCAAGGCAACGAUGCGUAGCCGACCUGAGAGGGUGAUCGGCCACACUGGAACAGAGGCACGGUCCAGACACCUACGGGAGGCAGCAGUAGGGAAUCUUCCGCAAUGGGCGAAAGCCGGACGGAGCAACGCCGCGUGAGUGAUGAAGGUCUUCGGAUCGUAAAACUCUGUUAGUAGGGAAGAACAAAUGUGUAAGUAACUAUGCACGUCUUGACGGUACCUAAUCAGAAAGCCACGGCUAACUACGUG